GUUGUACAAUAUAUUAUAUUAUAUAUUAAUUAAUACAAAAACGGAAACCGUACAAGAGAAUCUUCAGAACAAUAAAGAGGUAAAUUUUCAAUAUUUAUUGAUUAAAGCCGAACCUGUUUUACAUCCCAUACAAAGGCUUCAAACUCUGGGAGGCACUUAAGCCGACUCAAACAACAAACUAAAUUGGCUUACAUCAAAAUAAAGAAAGACAAUUGCACACCUU
rnacentral:lncRNA from 1 species